ACUUAAGAUGUGUUCUGUUGUAAAUAUGGAUGGAGAACUAUUGGUAGGCUUUAGGUGGGCAGACAAUGAGUAUUGGAUUGCCUGUAAGACCCUAAUAACAUUG
rnacentral:snoRNA from 1 species